rnacentral:tRNA from 1 species
AGAAGGUUUACCUAAAGAGGUUUGGUUCGGGUUUUUUGAAUCUGAGAGUGUAGCUUUUUG